rnacentral:rRNA from 1 species
GCCAGUGGCCUAAAUACCCUGAAGGCACCAGAUCCCAUCUGAAUUUAGAAGCUAAGCAGGAUCAACUCUGGUUAGUAUUGAAAUGAGAGGUAUACCAGGUGGUGUAGACU